rnacentral:misc_RNA from 1 species
UGAUGGGAUAGGACUUCCU